rnacentral:rRNA from 1 species
CUGGCGGCGUGCUUAACACAUGCAAGUCGAACGCGAAAGGGACUUCGGUCCUGAGUAAAGUGGCGCACGGGUGAGUAACGCGUAGAUAACCUGUCUUCAUGUCUGGAAUAAUACGCCAAAGGGGUACUAAUACCGGAUAUUCUUGCUUUUCAUAAGUUAUGCAAGCAAAGGUGGCCUCUGCAUAUGCUACUGCAUGAAGAGGGGUCUGCGUACCAUUAGCUAGUAGGUGGGGUAAUGGCCUACCUAGGCGACGAUGGUUAGCGGGUCUGAGAGGAUGAUCCGCCACACUGGCACUGGAACACGGGCCAGACUCCUACGGGAGGCAGCAGUGAGGAAUAUUGCGCAAUGGGGGAAACCCUGACGCAGCGACGCCGCGUGAGUGAAGGAAGGCCUUCGGGUCGUAAAGCUCUGUCAAGAGGAAAGAAGUGUACAAUGGCUAAUACCUGUUGUAUUUGACGGUACCUCUAAAGGAAGCACCGGCUAACUCCGUGCCAGCCGCUGC